rnacentral:rRNA from 1 species
UGGGGAAUCUUGGACAAUGGGGGCAACCCUGAUCCAGCCAUGCCGCGUGAGUGAUGAAGGCCUUAGGGUCGUAAAGCUCUUUCGCCUGUGAAGAUAAUGACGGUAGCAGGUAAAGAAGUCCCGGCUAACUCCGUGCCAGCAGCCGCGGUAAUACGGAGGGGACUAGCGUUGUUCGGAAUUACUGGGCGUAAAGAGUUCGUAGGCGGACUAGCAAGUUAGAGGUGAAAUCCCAGGGCUCAACCUUGGAACUGCCUUUAAAACUGCUAGUCUAGAGACCGGAAGAGGUUAGGGGAAUACCUAGUGUAGAGGUGAAAUUCGUAGAUAUUAGGUGGAACACCAGUGGCGAAGGCGCCUAACUGGUCCGGUACUGACGCUGAGGAACGAAAGCGUGGGGAGCAAACAGGAUUAGAUACCCUGGUAGUCCACGCCGUAAACGAUGAGUGCUAGAUGUUGGGAUUUUCGGAUUUUCCAGUGUCGCAGCUAACGCAUUAAGC